rnacentral:rRNA from 1 species
AACGUAGGUACCGAGCGUUAUCCGGAUUUACUGGGCGUAAAGCGCGUGUAGGCGGUUCGGUAAGUCCGCUGUGAAAGUCGGGGGCUCAACCCUCGAAUGCCGGUGGAUACUGUCGGACUAGAGUGCGGAAGAGGCGAGUGGAAUUCCUGGUGUAGCGGUGAAAUGCGCAGAUAUCAGGAGGAACACCGAUUGCGAAGGCAGCUCGCUGGGACGUUACUGACGCUGAGACGCGAAAGCGUGGGGAGCAAACAGG